rnacentral:rRNA from 1 species
AAUGAACGCUGGCGGCGCGCCUAAUACAUGCAAGUCGAGCGAGAAGACGUAGCAAUACGUUUGUAAAGCGGCGAACGGGUGAGGAAUACAUGGGUAACCUACCCUCGAGUGGGGAAUAACUAGCCGAAAGGUUAGCUAAUACCGCGUACGCUCCUUGGACUUCGGUUCAGGGAGGAAAGCGAUACCGUGGGUAUCGCGCUCUUGGAUGGGCUCAUGUCCUAUCAGCUUGUUGGUGAGGAACGGCUCACCAAGGCUUCGACGGGUAGCUGGUCUGAGAGGACGAUCAGCCACACUGGCACUGCGACACGGGCCAGACUCCUACGGGAGGCAGCAGUAAGGAAUAUUGCGCAAUGGGCGAAAGCCUGACGCAGCGACGCCGCGUGGGGGA